CGCGGCUCCGGGGAUCCCUCUGCGCCGGCCCGGCCGGAUCUAUCCGAGGGGCGGGGAUGCCGGCGGAGCCCCUGCGGCGCGGCGGCGGAAGGCUUCCCCUGGCACCGAUGGGACUCUAGAACUCUGGAUUUGCGUGCCGCGGGGCUCCCCCGGCGGGCGGGCAGCAGAGGUGGGGGGCGGGGACUACUUUCUGGCGGCGCAGGGAUCCCGCGAGGGAGAUGGCGUGCCGCCGCUGCGAGCCCGGGCCUCCGGUCGCCAUUACGGCGGCGGAGCCGUGAGGGGGAGGUGGCGGCGCGGUGUGAGCCGCCGGGCGGACGUGGGCAGCGCCGCGGAGCCGCCCUCAGCUUCAGUGCUUCCAGCCGGGUCACGUCGGGCUGACGGGAGCGCUGGCUCAGAAUACGGUAUCCGCUUCGUGUCAAAACCGCGCAGGUCUUAAGGGUAAAGUGCUGAGAGUUCCUCCAGAGAGAGCCCUGCUCGCAGACGUGGCAGCGGGCACGGCGGGUCUGGGGAUGUGUCAGCAGCCCCCGUUGGUUUCUGCACAAAUACACAUCGUUAUGGCCGUAUUCUCAAUAUAUGCUGAUGGUAUUCAUAUCGGUGCGGUCGUAGUUUGAUUUCCCAAGGUGGGGGGGGAAAAAAAAAGAGCAAAGCGAAAAAGACAUAGGUUGAAGUUGCUGCUGCCGUGUGCCGCAGUCAAGCCCCCGUUGGCACGCAGCACAGCCUGUGUUCUGCUGUGUCACAUCUCAGCCCUUCCUACCCAGCGCUCCCCAGCAGCUCCCUGCCCGAGCUCUGCCAUCUUUUACCCCUGCUGAGCAGUGUUGGCUGGAGCGGUGCUGUCAUACGGCGAGGUUAGGGAGGAACGAUGGAGCGUUCGGAUCGCUUUACGCGAGGGCUGCAGCAUGGGAUAGGCUGCCACGUCUGCAGGGAGCUGUCUGCUGGUGCUCGUCUGGAAAUCAGCCCAGGGCGGUCAGAUUCUGAACCUGUGAAGAAGGUCUGAUUUAUUGGUGCCUAUGGCAGAAAAAUAGUGUGAAGUUCUGGGAAUACUGUGGUCUUAGAACUGCUUUUGUGAGAGCUUUUGGAAACUGAACAUCAAAAAGGAGAGGGAAAUAAAUCUGUGACUCCUGUCUGCUCACUGUUCUCCCUGUGUCAGACUGCAGUAGGGAGAAAUAGGGGAGCCCCUUUGGAACUGUCAGUGUGAAAAACAUAGAAGAAAGCAGAAACCCAAGGAAGAGAAGAAGCCAUGUUCCUCAACAUGCUGUAGCUAUUCUUGGAAGAACCGUGGAGAAUGUGGAAGAACCAAUUACUGCUGAGGAAAAACUAAUGGCAGAAAGGGCUGCCCUGUGCAUUUGAGGACUGAAUUUUGCUGUUCUAGACGUCUUAUUUCUUCAAGACAGUUUCCUUGUGAUUGGCUUGUGAUCUCACUCUGUGUCUGAUUUCCCUUCUUAUCCCAGAAAUUUCUGAACUGUUUGCAUAUUCCACCCAAAAUUAACAAAGAAAUCAUAGAACCAUAGAGUCAUUUGGGUUGGAAGGGACCCUUAAAGAUCAUCCAGUCCAGCUCCUCUGCACUGAACAGGGACACCUACAGCUCCAUCAGGUGCCCAGAGUCCCCACCCAGCCUGACCUUGAGCAUCUCCAGGGAUGGGGCAUCUACCACCUCUGUGGGCAACCUGUGCCACUGCCUCACCCGCUCACUGUAAAAAACUUCUUCCCUAUAUCCAAUCUGAAUCUCCUCUCUUUUCAUUUGAAACCAUUUCCCCUUGUUCUAUCACCGCAGGCCCUGCUGAAGAGUCUGUCCCCUUCUUUCUUACAGCCCCCCUUUAGAUACUGAAAGGCUGCUCUCAGGUCUCACCGGAGCCUUCUCUUCUGCAGGCUGAACAGCCCCUGCUCUCAGCCUGUCCUUGUAGGAGAGGUCUUCCAUCCCUUGGUCCAGUUUUGUGGCCCUCCUCUGCAGGAAGUGGUGGUUUUGCAGACAACGAAGCUCCUAUGUGCUUUAUGAAUAUGGCUGAAUACCUGCAAGUGCCUCAGCAAUUGAGCAAAAAGUUGCCAUGUCAUCUCCUAUUUUAACAUGCACAGAAGGGCUACUGUAAGGGAAAGCACUCACAAGUACCAGAACCACAGGAAAAUCUCCAACCAGGAUUUGCAGAACUAUUAAAAGUUUGAAAUACUAAUGUUUCUACUGUCUGCAGAUUAUUCUUUAUGAGCGGGGGACUUUUUGAACCUUAGAGGUGAAACAUUUCUUCCUGCAUCCAAAGCCAUAGCUUGACUGGACUGCUGCAGUACAAAGUGAAUUGGGACAGGGAGGAAAGGGAACUGAGGAAUGGAGAAAGGUUACAAAAGAGGAAGGUGUAGUUGCUUCCACCUUUUAACAGUGUUGCUAACAGGCAUUAGCAGAAGUGGAAGAUCAAAGGGAAAUCGUAUUCCCUGUUCAUGAAUUAACUGAUCUUCUAUCCCAUAGGGCUUCUGAGGUUGUUCGGCAGUGGGUUGAAGCCUCCUGUAGCCCUCUUUGUUAGAGUAGGUUCUGAGAAUUUGUUGUUGGUCUAUGAUCAGGCUUGUGGGCUGUGAGCUGCUGCGAUUUGUGAAGAUGUCCUUGCACUGAGAGAUAAUGAGGACGUUAACUGCGUGGAGUACAUGGUGGGACUGGAUAUUCAGAACUAAAUAAUUUGUUAAACCACUGGAUGUUUUCACAUGUCUAUAUUGCUAUGUCAGAGAAUCAUAGAAUCAUAGAAUGGCCUGGGUUGGAAAGGACCACAAUGAUCAUCUAGUUUCAACACCCCUCCCACCCCCCUGCUAUGUGCAGACCACCAGACCAGGCUGCCCAGAGCCACAUCCAGCCUGGCCUUGAAUGCCUCCAGGGAUGGGGCAUCCACAACCUCCUUGGGCAACCUGUUCCAGUGCGUCACCACCCUCUGUGUGAAAAACUUCCUCCUAAUAUCUAACAUAAACCUCCUGUCUCAGUUUAAAACCAUUCCCCCUUAUCCUAUCACUACCCACCCUCGUAAACAGCUGUUCCCCCUCCUGUUUAUACACUCCCUUCAAGUACUGGAAGGCUGCAAUGAGGUCUCCCUGGAGCCUUCUCUUCUCGAUGCUGAACAAUCCCAGUUCCCUCAACCUUCUCUCAUAGGAAAGGUGCUCCAGCCCUUUGGUCAUCUUAGUGGCGCUCCUCUGGACCCACUCCAAGAGCUCCACAUCCCUCCUGUACUGGGUCCCCAGGCCUGGAUGCAGUACUCCAGAUGGGGCCUCACAGGAGCUGAGUAGAGGGAGAUGAUCACCUCCCUCUGCCUGCUGACCACUCCUUUUUUAAUGCAGCCCAGAACACAGUUGGCCUUUUGGGCUGCAAGCGCACACUGCUGGCUCAUGUCCAGCUUCUCGACCCUCUCAUCUAUGAAAUUUAUAGCAUAUCAAAAGUUCUGCAGAUCUCAUGAUUGACCUUUUUUUGUCAUGCAGUCACAAUUAUGUACCUCUUGGGUUUGUUCUUUCUCUUUUUUUUAAUUUUUUUUUUCAUUUUUGGAAGAGCAUCCUGACAUUCCCCCAGCUUGGCAGUGUCACUUAAUACUGUCUAAGAUCUUUUAUAAAUCUCUUGAAACAGGUCAAAUUAGUUUGUGUUGAUUCCUCAGAAAAUCUGUGUAUAUAUAAAGUGUGUUGAAUGAAACAGAGGAAAUGGUAUCACCACAAAACCUUUCAGCCAAAUCUAGCCUGGAAACUUUUGCUUUAAUGCAGAGAUUCAUAAUUUCCUUCUAUAUGAAUGUUUCAUAAAGAAAAGUAUGCACUUUGUUUCCCUAAGUACAUUAAGAAAAGCAUGCCAGGAAUCAAGGUAAUUUCAGAUGAAUUACACUGCUUGGAGUCUGUUCUGCUGGAAAACACAUCGGUGUUACUUGUUAAGUACUGUGUUUCUUUUAUAUUAAACACAACUCAGCCUGCUGGAUGGUAAGUGGGAUAUUGGAAUUGGAUAAGGUGGGAUCUAUUCGUUUCUGUAGGCUGAUGGUUGUUGCUCUGUUCCAUGUAACAGUCUCAAAUUUUCCAAAGACUCCGUGCUUUAGUGAAAAUGCUGCAAGAUUGUACAAGCCAUGGGUUUUCUAUGGCCCUGGAAAAUAAGGCCAUCAUUCUCAAGUGGGACACUUACUCAUGUCUCUGAGUUCCAAUAUUAAUGUUUUUAUUAAGGCUGAAAUCAGGAAGCAGAGCAGGAGUUAACUUUGUUCUAUAACUGAUCAAUGAAAUGCAACAAUAAAGCAUUAAAGCUGGCCGAGUCAUGCUGUCAUGAAACCUUUGCUGAAAUUGGAGACUUAUGUGUGGAAGGAUGGUGGUGGCUGAAUGAAGCCGGGACUGUUUGGGCCUGGUACUCAGUUACAAGUAGCAUUUUGAAACCACAUACUGCACCACGGGAUGGCUUACGUAAGAAGUAGCGUAGUGGGUUAGUACUGGGUUAGUACUAUGUCCAUCUUGUCAUUUUUCUUAAUCCUGAUGACUACUAAAAACAAAGGCUGCAGAGGAAUUAAUUUGGGAGCUGAUGCCAUAAUCUGCAUUCCUUCUUGGCAAGAAGCCUAUUUUUGGUCUUCUAAAGAUUUACUAAAGCUCUGAAGCAUAAAGCUUGAUAUCUUUUGAAUGAAAUGGUAAUUACAUUUUCAAAUCCUUUAGGUACACUGUGAAUGUAUCUGUUCCAGCUUUAUGUAUUUGUAGAUUCCUCUUUUCAGUGUCUUGCUGUAGUGAGUUCUACUGCCAAUGUGUGCUGACUUUUUAAUUUUAAUAGAGAAACAAACAAAAAAUGUCCAUAUAUCCUCUUUUUACUGACAGGUGUUCCUGCUUAGUGUUUCAGACUCAAUAUUUCUGUGCAGGUAACCUAGAUAGCUGUUAAGCUGUCCCACUUACAGACAGUAAAAAGGGUCCUGGGUUCAGCUUGACAUCAUGAUGCCCAGUGGGAAAAGCCUGAGUUUAGCUGGCUUAACCUUAUGUUACAUAGACCUGGGACAGCAGGACUCCAGUCAGUUUACAGACAUGGUUUAAUGGUUUGUAUUUUCCCAUAUCCUCAUCAAAGUAAGUUCUGGUAACAGCCAUCAGGUGUGUCUUUGAGCACUGACACUUUGUGUUGUUGGUGAAGAUUCUCAGUCUCUGCAUUAAUAGCCCACGUGCAUGGCUGAAAUGGCAGCUUCUCAAAUGCAACAUACUACUUGUUCUGGCCUGCACAGUGAAAUGCAGCUUUCACCAAACAGAUGAUGUUGAACUUCCAUAAGAAAUGUCUUUGCUUCUUCUGCACUGUAUGGCAAUGGGACGUCUGACUUUUCGGGUGCUUUGUUUUUUAGAACAGACAAACAAACGAACAAAAAACCAAGAUGUGUUUGGACUUCACUGAUUUCAUGCACUUAGUGAACUGUGUGCUAGACUUACUGCUGUUGAACCCGAAGAGGUGACCAUUUGCUAUGAGUUAAUAAAGUUUUAUGCUGUCUCCUGUUUUUCUGUCCUUUCCUUUCUGACAUGGAACAGUGCAAAAGGAACAUACUGGGAAUGAUUUGAUCUUGGGCAACUGGCUGUAGGCAGCACUGCUUGAGCGGGGGGUUGGACCUGAUGAGCUCCAGAGCUCCUUUCCUCCCUCAAGCUUUCUGCCAUUCUGUGGGUUUUCCCUUGCAGUUUUUAAUAGUGCUCGUUUGCUUCUUGGAGAGAAAUGUAUUUUAACAUAUGCUAGAAUGAAAACUAUGGUCUAUGCUACUGUGUUGUGUGCUUAAUCCUGAAAAAGAGAGAAUCUCCUCAUCCUGCAGAUUAUUGUUUAAUAAGGAUUCA
ensembl:lncRNA